CUCCAGUAUGUAUCACGAUAUGAAGAAUGGUAACAUCUCCCUUGUCACGGCUGUUGCAAAUAUUUGUAACAAGAAACAGCUCGAAAGUCAUGAUUCGCGAGGACCACGCUCACGGAACAGUAUACGAGAAUCUGGAUGUUUUGUUCGCAACAGCAAAGUUGAAAGAUGCUUGAUAGAUAGACCGAGCUAGUUUCUAACCUGUUUAUUUCAAUGUUUAUACACUUGGAGAACGUGGAAUGUCAUUAUGAUAAUAACAUAUGAUAACAUAAAUUAUUAUUCGAUUUAAUUUUAUCACAUGAAUACUUCUCGACUAGAGUUCCGUAUUCAACACUUUCUCUCCCAGACAAAAAUAGAGAGGAAAUGCAAAUACAGUAAAAGAUUGGAUGCUUACAAUUACGGAUCAGUGUAGUUUCGCUUCCUAGCGAAACUGUCAAUCAAUGUGAAAGGAAAACCUAACAAGAUGCAAGCUGGGCAGAUAUAUUCAUAUAAUGGAUUGGAGGAUUUAACUGUCUAAUGUCAGAAUGCCGGUGAUCAUGCAACCAACAGAUAUUUUGAUAAAGUUUGAAGCUGCUAGAGUGAAUCCCAUCGAUAUUGCAGUGACAAAUAGAUGGUUAUGGCACAACUCUUCAAAAUUUGAUGUGCCAUGCCAAGAUUUUGACUGGUGGAACAUACAAUAGACGAUUACCAAGAUUACGAUACAAAGACGAAGAAGUAAUUAGCAUGUGCAGCAGUGAUACUAUGGAUAUGUUACAGAGUUUAGGUGCCAAUAUUGUUAUUGAUUAUAAGAUGGUGCUGACAUAAAAAUUAUUUCAGAGGGACCAUUGCGCCAAUCAAGGACCAGAGCACGUCAGAAUGAAAGGUUAUCCGCACAGUACUUAUAUAGCAUUAAAUUCGCCACAAUUGAAACAUACUGAUCAACAUGGGCUAGUUGUAGGAAUGGCAAAGAAUAUGCUAGAUUUUUUAAAGUUUAAUAUUCCAAAGCGAGAAAAUAACUGUGUAAAAUGGGUAUUUUUUAUACCAUCCUGCAAACAGGAAUUAAUGUCCUUCAAAAACUUGUGGAAAAUAAAGAAAUUUGCCGCUGGCAUAUGAAAAGAUGAGGCAGGGCCAUUGAUAUAAGAUAGUACAACAUGCAUCAUUGAAUUAAAUAAGUAGAUAAAUAUCGUUGUUGUUGAUAUAUAUAU